CCUGCCCCCUGAUAGUAUUAAUUUAAUGGCCGCGGUAUUAAUGACCGUGCAAAGGAAGCAUAAUCAUUAGUCUUUUAAUUGGAGGCUUGUAUGAAUGGUUGGACAAAAGUAAAACUGUCUUUUUUGAUAAAAAUUGAAUUUAACUUUUAAGUGAAAAGGCUUAAAUAUUUCAGAGGGACGAUAAGACCCUAUAAAACUUUUAUAAAAGUAAAAUUUAAAUUAAAGUUUUUAUUAAAAAUUAAGAUUUAAUGGUUUAUUAGGUUGGGGCAACGAAGGUAUAAUUAUAUAUAACUGCUUAGUUUAUAAACAAAUAUUUUUGUAUUAAGGUUUAAAUGAUCCUUAUUUUAAAGAUUUAAAGAUUAAGUUACUUUAGGGAUAACAGCGUUAUUUUUUUUGAGAGUUCGUAUCGAAAAAAAAGUUUGCGACCUCGAUGUUGAAUUAAAAUUUCUAUAUAGUGCAGUUGUUAUAUAAGAGGGUCUGUUCGACUUUUAAUUUUUUACGUGAUCUGAGUU
rnacentral:rRNA from 1 species